rnacentral:rRNA from 1 species
AACGAACGCUGGCGGCAUGCCUAACACAUGCAAGUCGAACGAGACCUUCGGGUCUAGUGGCGCACGGGUGCGUAACGCGUGGGAAUCUGCCCUUGGGUUCGGAACAACAGUUAGAAAUGACUACUAAUACCGAAUGAUGACGUAAGUCCAAAGAUUUAUCGCCCAAGGAUGAGCCCGCGUAAGAUUAGGUAGUUGGUGAGGUAAAGGCUCACCAAGCCGACGAUCUUUAGCUGGUCUGAGAGGAUGAUCAGCCACACUGGGACUGAGACACGGCCCAGACUCCUACGGGAGGCAGCAGUGGGGAAUAUUGGACAAUGGGCGAAAGCCUGAUCCAGCAAUGCGGCGUGAGUGAUGAAGGCCUUAGGGUUGUAAAGCUCUUUUACCAGGGAUGAUAAUGACAGUACCUGGAGAAUAAGCUCCGGCUAACUCCGUGCCAGCCGCCGCCGUAA